UACAGGGGGUGCAAACGUUGCUCGGAAUUAUUGGGCGUAAAGCGCGCGUAGGCGGCUACUUAAGUCGGAUGUGAAAGCCCUUGGCUCAACUGAGGAAGUGCACCCGAAACUGAGUGGCUAGAGUACGAAAGAGGGUCGCGGAAUUCCCGGUGUAGGGGUGAAAUUCGUAGAUAUCGGGAGGAACACCGGUGGCGAAGGCGGCGACCUGGGUCGAUACUGACGCUGAUGCGCGAAAGCGUGGGGAGCAAACAGG
rnacentral:rRNA from 1 species